UGGGUGUUAUUGAGAGAAGAAACCUCCAGG
rnacentral:piRNA from 1 species